rnacentral:lncRNA from 1 species
AUGGUACGGAACACGGAAAUCAACAUGGCGGAUUUCUGACUUUUUUACCAAUUUUCAAAGAAAUGGCAAAACCUAAGAAGAAACGGAGUCUGACACUUGGGAAAAAGAAGUGGAUAAAGAAGCAAAAGAAGAAUAUCAAUAUUAAACUAACUUUCCAGUUGCCGCAAUGCGCCAGGAAAUCACCAGCGAGAAAACCAACAAAAAGACUGCUUACGCCAUCUGAAUCCCUCUACAAUUUAUAUCCAGCAAACUAAAGAAUUAAGUCAUUUAGGUCACCUGUCGCUUCCAAAAAAAACAA